rnacentral:rRNA from 1 species
UACGAAGGGGGCUAGCGUUGCUCGGAAUCACUGGGCGUAAAGGGCGCGUAGGCGGCCAUUCAAGUCGGAGGUGAAAGCCCAGGGCUCAACCCUGGAAUUGCCUUCGAUACUGUUUGGCUAGAGACCGGAAGAGGUAAGUGGAACUGCGAGUGUAGAGGUGAAAUUCGUAGAUAUUCGCAGGAACACCAGUGGCGAAGGCGGCUUACUGGUCCGGUUCUGACGCUGAGGCGCGAAAGCGUGGGGAGCAAACAGA